GAUGAAGAACGCAGUGAAAUGCGAUAAGUAGUGUGAAUUGCAGAAUUCAGUGAAUCAUCGAAUCUUUGAACGCACAUUGCGCCCUUUGGUAUUCCUUAGGGCAUGCCUGUUCGAGCGUCAUUUAAACCUUCAAGCUCAGCUUGGUGUUGGGUGACUGUCCGCCGCCUCCGGGCGGUCGGACUCGCCUCAAAUUGAUUGGCGGCCGGUACUUUGGCUUCGAGCGCAGCAGAAACGCGAACUCGAGGCCGUCGUCCUGGCUCCCAGAAGCUAUCUUCACAAUUUUGACCUCGGAUCAGGUAGGGAUACCCACUGAACUUAAGCAUAUCAAUAAGCGGAGGA
rnacentral:misc_RNA from 1 species